rnacentral:lncRNA from 1 species
CUGUUUAUAUCGUUCUCUGCUCCACUGGUAUAAGAAUACCUCAAGCUUGGCUCGCCGACUUCGACCGGUAUGACCGCGUCGGUUCCGUGAACCAGUGAGUAUGGUGUUUCUCCUAUGCUGGAUUUGGGUGUGGUACGGGAUGCCCACAACACUUCUGGUAGUAGCUCGGGUCAUAGCCCUUUGGCUCCCUCAAUUUUCUUUUUCAGUAUGUUCAGUAUUGUUUUUUAGAAGAUUCUACUUGACAGUUGGCGGCGGGGUGAUAUGGCGUGGAAAGUAUUCACUUAAUAUGUCAUUUGUUGAAGAACUCUGUCGUCUUCUGGCCGAUGAACUGUCGCCCGUUGUUGCAGCUAAUCUCUUUGGGAAUGCCGAAUUGGCAGAUGAUAUUCUUCCAUAUGAAGGCGAUGACUUCCUUUUCGCAUAUUUGGGCAUACACACCUUCUUCCACCAUCUUGGAGAAAUAGUCAAUUAAAACUAACAGGAAUCGUAAAUUUCUUUGUCCCGCUGGUAGGGGCCCGACUAUGUCCACCCCCCAUUCAUAGGGAAGUGACUGAGUGGAGGAUUCUCCUGGUUGAUGUAUCAUGGGGGUGUACUUUUGGCAUUGUUCGCAUCGGCGAAUAUAUUCUGCAACCUCUUUCUUCAUAGUGGUCUAGUAAUAGCUGGCUCGUAUUAUGCAGCUCAUGAGGGUGCGCUUACCUAUGUGGGCACCGUAGUGACUUUCUUGUACCUCUUUGAGUACAGAUCUUGUCUAGUGAGGCCCUAGGCACUUAGCCAGGGGUCCGUCAAACGUUCUUUUAUAGAGCUCGUGAUUUAUCAGGAAAUAUCGGGUGACCUAUAUACAGAGCUUCUUUGCUUCUUUUUUGUCGAGCGGCAGUGUCCCAUCCUGCAAAUAAGAUACAAAUUGGUUGCGCCAGUCCCAAGUCAAAUUAAAAAAGAGUACCUUAGUGUGAUCAAUGGCCGAAUGAAGGAGGGUGACCACGAUUUCUUUGCUGAAGUUUUUAGUGGUUGCAGCCAGUUUUGCGAGACUGUCUGAUUCGACGUUACGUGCCCUCAGAAUUUAUUCAAAACGACACUCGUCGAAUUUAGCCAUUAAUCUAUGGAUUUUUUAUUGGAAUAUUUGCAAUCUCUGCUCCUUGAUUUGGUAAGUUCCAGUGAUCUGGUUCACUACAAGUUGGGAGUCGCAGUUGAGAACGAGUCACCGAGCCCCAUAUUUGAUGGAUAGCUUUAUGCCUACAAUAAUAGCCUCGUUGUUAGUCAUUUCGGGACAUCAUAUGGAUUGGCGAAUAGUUUCGCUCGUGGAGACCUCGAUAACGAGUCUCAAUCUUGAUCCUAAAGCAUUAGCGGCACCGUUAGUGUAGAGAGGACAUAGGUCGAUGUUGGAGGGGGCACGUCGUGACUCUAGUUUUGCCUCUGGUAGUAUCUCUUCACUCAAAUCGGCUACAAAGUCUACAAGUACUUGCGACUUGAUGGAGUUUCUUGGGUGAUAUAAAAUAUCGUGUUCGUUGAGUUCUGUGGCCCAUCUGGCAAGCCUGCUUGAUAAUUCAAGCUUAUGUAGGACGCUCCUCAGGGGGAAGGUCGUUACUACUUUUAUAGGAUAGUAAGGUCAAAGCUUCCGUGAAGCUACGACCAAAACCAGAGCUAAUUUUUCAAGGUGUGGAUACCGGAUGUCGCCGUCCACUAAGGUUUUGCUAAUAUACUAAACAGAAGAUUGCGCACCUUCAUUUUCGUGAACCAAGACUGCAGUAACAGUGACCUCGGAUAUGGCCAGAUACACCAGUAAGGGCUCAUCUGGAUUUGCUUUGGCUAGCAGUCGUGGCGAAGAUAGGUAUGCUUUCAAUUUUCUCAGAGAUUCGAUGCAUUCUUCAUUCCAUUGUAACCCAUUCUCCCUUUUCAACACAUUAAAAAAUUUAUGGCACUUGUCGGAGGAUCGUGAGAUAAACCUGGAUAGGGUGGCUAUUCGUCCCGUCAACUUUUGUAUCUGAUUUUUGCUGUUCAAAAUCGCGGGUAUUGCGUCUAUCACCUUGAUCUGAUCUAGGUUGACCUCGAUGCCUCUUUAUGAUACGAGAAAUCCUAAAAAGUUUCAUGAGGCUACGCUGAAGGUGCAUUUCUCGGGGUUUAGCUUCGUCCCAUACCUUCUCAAUAUCCCAAAGUCUUCUUUCAGAUGGUUGAUGUGGUCCUUUUUCCUUGUUGACUUCACUAGCAUAUCAUCAAUAUAGACUUCCAUGGUAUUACCGAGCUAUUCUUUGAACAUUUUAGUGACUAGUAUUUGGUACGUAGCCCCUGCAUUUUUAAGCCCGAAGGGCAUUACUUUGUAGCAAUAUGUUCUCUGGUGCGUGAUGAAAGUCUUUUUCUCAUGGUCCUCCUCGGCCAUCAUGAUUUGAUUGUAGCCGGAGUAGGAAUCAGUUCAAGUCCUAUGGUGGCGUCGAUCAUCUGGUCGAUCUAGGGCAGUGAGAACGAAUCCUUAGGGCAUGCCCUGUUCAUAUCGGUAAAAUCCACACACAUUCUCCACUUCCCAUUUUUCUUUUGACCAUGACGGCAUUGGCGAUCCACUGGGGGUACUUUUAUUCUUUAUGGAACCUUUGGCCAGUAACUUAUCUACUUCCUUGCUGACCACUUCAUUGAUAGCAACAUUCAAAUUCCUUUUAAUCUGUCGCACGAGUGAGUGUAAUGGAUCAACAUUUAGCCUGUGGCUGGUGAUGUCUCGCAGGAUUCCCGGCAUAUCUGAAUGGGAAAAACAAAUAAAUUUGCACGGUUAGUUAAGAAUUCAUGAUACUUACUUAGGUUGGUGAAGCCGUGCCCGAUAUAGGCUUUCUUUGUAAGGCUGGUGUCGUACAAUUGGACUGGAUCGAGAUUUUCGUCCGUUUCUCUACAAGCUUUUGCGAUGUCAGGAUCUCUAAUGGUGUCCGUUGUCGGAUUGACCUUAGUUACCAACAGGGCUGAUUGUUAUGCCUCUGCACUCGCCCCCUUUAGCUGCUUGGUGUGGGCACAGUCUUGAGCCAUUUUGUAGCAUUUAAGUGCAGUGCGUGGCUCGCCUUGAAUGCUGAAUACUCCCCAUGGGGUAGGAAGCUUGAGGGAAUAGCCCGCAUGGCAUGUAUAUGAUGGCAUUGUACGUUGUUUUCAUGAUUCAUCACGUGCAAAGUUGUUUCCAGCGUGACUCCUCCUUCUAAAAACUGGUAGGGGUAUUUCUCCAGAUGUCCGUUCCACUGCAUUUUUAAGACCACUUAGUGUUAUGCAGCGCGGUAAUAUCUUAUCCUCGAGUCCCAUUUGUACGAGGACCCUUGGAUGGAUAAUUCAGACGCCACUUCCGUUGUCAACCAUGAUUCUUUUAACAUCCGUAUCGGUAAUACGUAAAGUGUAACUAAAGCGUCGUAAUGAGGGAAAGAAAAACCGUCGGCAUCGGACUUAUCGAAGGUGAUACUAUCAUUGAAGCCGUCAUACCGUUCAUGGGUGAUGGUCCAUUUUAGAUUGUGCGUGAUGGUGUACUUGAUGUGAUUGAUCGCCAAGUCAUCGCUGCCUCCGACGAUCAUAUUUAUCGUGCGUGCUGGGGAAGGCGGCUUCGGUGGCCCGUGGGGUUGUUCCUAUCUGCAUGCAAAGUUGGUUUUCCCUUUGUCACUGAGUAACUCCCUCAGGUUUCCUGGUUCAGCAUUCUGACUACCUCUUGUCGUAGGCCUAUGCAGUCUUCGAUCUUGUGUCGCUGUUCCUGAUGGAACUCACAAUGGACGUUUGAUUUCCUUGUGGUAGGGUCUGAUUUCAUAUUUUGCGGCCACUACACUUUGGUUCCCAGCUUUUCCAGUGCGCAAAAUAUUUCUAAAGGAGACACACAAAAGUCAUAAGCAGAUAAUAAAGGGGGCGUACCUCUUUUGUUUUGGACUGGGGCGACGUGUCACUGCAGUGUGUCUGUAUGCCUGGGUAGAAGCGGAUGGGAGGAUCUCAUGUAUGGCUCGUGUCGAGCUUUAUUGAAGCGUGGGAGUUGUUCUCGCCGACCCUCAUUGCGCCGAUCCCUCCUUAUUUCUGAGUGUAUCCUUUCUAGCCGUUGGGUCGACCCAUUAAGAUCAUCCUCGUCCGUUCGUACCUCAGCACUGUAGGUAUUGUGGAUUUCCUCCCAUGUUGAACGAGGAUAUUAUAUAAGGCAUCUUAGAAGUUUCUUAGUUUCCCUCGAACCUUCCCUGUUUAGCCCGUUCUGGAAAGCGGCCACUGCCAUACCUUCCGAUACGUUUGGCAGACUCAUCCUUACCCUGUUAAACCUAGCCAGGAAGUCCCUGAGUCCCUCUCAUGUGGUUUUCCUGACGGCGAAGAUGUCGUUGACCCUUUCUUCCGCUUUCUUUGCACCUGCAUGGGCGGUGAGAACUUAUUCGCCAUUUCUUCGAACAGUGAUAUUUCCCUAGCUGGUAGCUGAGAGUACCGUAUUAGGGCCCUUCCGACCAACGUCUCAUCGAACUUCUUCAGCAGCACUGAUGGUACCUGUUCUUUUGUUAGGUCGUUGGGCUUCACGGUGGUGACAUAGUGGACCAGAUGGUCCUCGGGAUCUGUGGUUCCAUCGUAUACCCGCAAGUAGGGUGGUACUUUGAAGGUUUUUGGGAUGGAGUGCGGGGCAGCUUCUUCGAUAUAUGGUUGUUCAACGAACCUCCCCACAUCGCGUUUUGGUAGCAACUUGGGAGCACCAAGGAUCUUGUCUACCCUCUCCUUAUGUUCCUUCAUUUGGUCGUGGAGUGCUUUUUUUAAUUUUCCAUUUCUUCCAUUUUCUCAAGGAUGGCUGUGAGCUUGCCAUCAUUGGUUUGCACAUCAACGGGCCCGUUAUUUGCUUGUACAACCUCGGGUUCACCCAUGGAAUUAGUGAUGCCUACCAUUGGUGUAUACCUGAGGUUACUUUGUGGUGACUUCUCAACAAUGCCAUUAGGGUACUUGUUAUCCAUUCUUCCAGUAGUUUCUUGACCACCGAAGGUGCUUCCUUAGCAGCAAAUGUUGAAGCUCCUUUUUCAUGCAAGAUCGUUAGAUCUUCGGAUGGGGAAGGCGAGAUCUCUGCACCUGAAGUGGUGCUAGGGGUUACAUUCAAGAUUCAUUCGUCAUCGGCCUCGUUGAGAGGACCCAACAGAUUGGCUGUAACACCCACUAUUGUUUUCAUUCUUAUGUUAUUUUCGGCCAUCUUUUGUUUUUGUAUGGUGUAGAGAAUGGUUGUCGGUUGUUCUAUAGGUGCAAACUAUGAUUUUGAUUCUCGAGAUCCCCACAGACGGCGCCAAAUUAUUUGGCUCAAAAGUUAUUGAUAUACUUUGUAAGCUUAAAAACAAUAAAAAAUAAACGAGGGUAAAUCGUAAUCAAAUAUAAUAUGACCUAGAGAUUAAAAGGACGAUAUUGUUAUUAUAGAUCUGAAAGAUAAAAAGAUCAUAUGAACUUAAAAGAGAAGUAAUCGUUAGAAAUAGAGACAGAGAUAGAUAGAUAGAUAGAUAGAUAGAUAGAUAGAUAGAGAGAGAGAAAGAAAUUUUAUUCGAGAAUAAUGAUGAGCCCCUUUACAAUGUUAAUGUCUCCUUUAUAUAACAUGAGACAUUUCUCGAAAUAAUUAAAAAUGCUUGUAAUUAUAGAUCUGAAAGAUAAGAAGAUGAUAUCAGCUUGAGAGAAAAGUAAUCGUUUGAGAUAGAGACUGAGAUAGAUAGAGAGAGAGAAGAAAUGUUAUAUUAUUCGAGAAUAAUGGUGAUCCAUGUUACAGUGUGUAGGUCUCCUCUAUAUAAUAGGAGACCUUCCUCAAAAUAAUUAAAAAGGUACAAAAGUAAGUAGCGUUUCCUUAGUGAAGAUAUUGUAUAUUAAACGACGUUGCCUUUGUCCCCGCGUCCAAAUCAUACCCUUGCUUUAGUCGACGUGCGCUUGAAGGCGUACCCAUCAACAUAGAGACGUCUGGGGUCAAAUUGUACCCUAUACAACUAUCUUUCAUGAAUGUUGUUCUGUUUUAUUUAAAUACAUGUUCACGUGGUUUCUAGGCUAUAUUUCGAGCUGUAUCAUUUUUCUGAAUAUUUUCAUGUCAUCCUUAAUAAUUAAAACUGGAAGCUUCAAAAUGAAGUUCACUGAUCAUUGGAUUAAUGAGACUUAAAAAUAAGUAGUCUUUUUUCCCUUCUUUCGUUCCUUUUCUUUCUUAUUUUGUAUAGCUUGAUUCAUUUGUGUAUUACGUCUUUAUUGUGGGCAUGUUUAAAUUUUUGUGUUAAUCUGUUUCGUGCAUUCUUUUUACGACGUUAUGAGUGGGUUUGUGCUUUAGAUCUUACAAGACUCAUGAACUUUGAUUUUAUUUGUAUUACUGCUUGUGUUUCAUAUAUUUGUCAUCUUAAAUUUUAUAGUGUUAAAUCUGUCAUAUGGGAAAAAAGAGUUUGGGGCGUGAUAUUAGAGAGGAUCAAAAUUUUAAAUUAGAUAAAUAAUUGAGUAACUUCAAUCCCUUACCCUAUAGUAAUUGCUAUUGUCCCCUAUGAAUUGUCGGAAUCGUUGAAUAGUCGUCUACAUGCUUCGCUAUUUAUUAGUUAAAAUCUACUCCAUUCCCACAAACAAAUUCACUAACAUUUGAGCCUCACAAUAAUCCCAAGCUUAGGGAGUUGAAUACUUUAGAAAUACUUGAAAAACUUUAGAUGUAUUUUAAAUAUUAAUUCAUGUGUUCAUACCUGAACCUCGGAUUGAUAUGCUGAAGUAAUAAAAGGGUCAUUGCACAUUCCCGCGUCUCAAUAUCUUUAAAUAUAAAAUAAUUAUAUUUUAACUAUGUGUACAUUCCGUACCUUGGUUUAAUAUUUAUCUUUAAAGAAAUGCCUUGUGUGCGCACCGCAUAUAGGUCAAAAUAAUUAAUAAAAGCAUAAUAUUAAGUGAAGUAGUAAUAGACAAGUCAUAACCAAUAAAAUACAAGACUAGACAAAAAAUGAUUCAAGCCUUACAUUAGUCAAUAAAAGCGACUGUGCUAGAAGCACGGGACUCGAGGGGUGCCUUACACCUUCCCUUCGGUUAACAGAAUCCUUUACUUAGUCGUCUAUUUCGUAUACCAUAAUUAAGAGUUAAACAUUACUUUUGAAAGGGGAUUCAAAUAAAUGGUGACUUGGAACACAAAAACUGAAUUGUAGGUGGCGACUCUAAAUAAUAAAUAAUCCCUUUUUAAAACGUAACUUCAAUUGGAAAAACUCUUCUAACUCAACCUCGUAAUAGGAUUUUGUGUAAAAAAAGAGGUGUGACAGCAUUAUCGACUGUGCUGGGGAAAAUUAAUAAGAAUUCGAGCUUUGUAUAUUGAUUUUUGUUUGACUUUUAUCAUGUCUUGGAUAUUAUUGUGUUUGGAAGCCUAUGUGCUAUUUGUUGCUUAUUUACUGCUUCAAUAUUUAUUUGAACUGUGAUAUAAACUAUAUCUUCUCUCGCACCCUCUGAGUCUUCUGAUAAGUAGUUAUGUUGUGUGUGCCUACCAGCAUCAAAAAAUUUCUAUCUUGAUAUAAAGCCAGUUAGCUUACCAGCUUCUGGUGAAGGAUUUAAUCACACAUGUUUAGGCAGGAGAUGUGACGACACGACCCGUCGCCACGUGAGUUACCGCCCCCUUUUCCCUGUUUUAUGCUUCUUCAUGUGUUAUUAUAUGUAUUUGGUGAGUUUGAGGUGUUUCGGAUUGAAGUUGGAUAGAAAUGAGACAAAUAGUCUCUUUAAGGAAAGCUUAAGUUGAAAAAGUCAAUCGAAAGUUGACUUGUGAGUUAGAGGGCUCAGAUGUGAUUUCACAUGUUUCAGUUAGCUUCGGGGGAUGAUUUGUGACUUAAGAGAGCGAUCGGAAUUGAAUUUAGAGGUCCAAUGUAGAAUUAGGCUUGAUUUGGCAAUGUUUGAAUUUUUUGCGGAAUCCGGUUGAUAGGUCAGAUUUUUAUCUGAGGAUCAGAAUAGAAAUCUGAAAGUUGCAGUAGCUUCGUUGGGUGAUUUUGGAUAUGUCCACAAAUUGUUAGGUCAUUCGGACGUCGUUUAGUCGGAUUAUUGAUCGAGUAUGAGUUUCAGAAGUUUUAAGAAAAAUUUAAGCUUGAAUUCGUCAUGAUUUGAUGAUUUUUUUGUUAAAAGACGUGUUUUAUGAUUGGGACAUGUUCGUAUGAUGUUUUGGAGUAGGUUGGAGGUUUUGGUUGAGGUCCCAGGGUCCUCGGGGUGAUUUCGAGUGUUCAAAUGGACUAGUUUUGGCCUUGGGGGAGAUCAGAUUUUUGCUGUCAUAUGAUACAGACCAUAAAGCAUCGUGAUCGCGUGAGGAGUAUCGCGAUCGCAUAGAGUCAGCUGGAGUGGGCCUGGAUUUUGGCUAUCGCGUUCGCAUAGGGUUAGUUCGCGUUCGCGAUUAAGGGGAGGAAUUAGAACCGCGAUCGCGUGGGGUCAGACGCAUUCUCGUAGUAGAAAUACCUGGAGCAUCGUGAUUGCGGUCAGGUAGUCGCGUUCGCGUAAGGGAAAAUUGGGGUCAGCAUAAUUCGAUCAUCACGAACGCGUGGGUCUUGGACCGCGUUCGCGUAGGGUAAAAUGGCACCUGGGCAGAAUUGAUUUAAGUCAUUUUUCAUCCGCGAGCCUAUGUUAUUUUCCUCCAUUGUUGAGCGAUUUUGGAGCUUGGGAGAGAGAAUUGACGAGGGAAUCGAAGAGGAAUGAUUGGAGGUAAGAUCUUCGAACUUAAAACUCCUUUUAAUUGGGAAAUCUACCUAGAGAUUCAUGGAAACACGCCAAAAAUUGAAGAAAUUAGGGCUUGAGUUUUUGAUACUUCGAAUUGAGAUUUGAUAGGUCAUUUGAGCUCAGAUUUGGGAGUUCUUGGUAUGUAUGAACUCGUGGCGAGACGAGGAUUCCAAAAUUAUAAGUUUUGUAAUUUUUUGAGAAGAGGGCCCGGGGCUCGGGUUUUGCUAAUUUCGAUAUUCUUGCUAUUUCUCAAUUGUUUUCGAUUGGGUAUUGUCCCAUUGGCAUGUUGUGAUGUAUUCGCUAUGUUUUUUGCUAGGUUUGACGCGCGUGGAGGCCGAUUUGAGGGGCAAAGGUGCCGUGAGCUUGAGAUUUUAUCGGUUCGAGGUGAGUAAUACUUGGGAAUGAUAUCAUGAGAGUUUGAAACCCCGGAUUUGCACACCCUAGUGCUGUAUUGUGGUGACUCGGACGCUGGACCUGAGCGUGGGGUAGAGCACCGUUGGGGGAUUACGACUUGGUCCGUCCCGGUUGUUGGUUCUUACUGCUAAAUUAUAAAUUUUUUGUGGUUAUCAUCAUGACUUGGGCUCAUUGCCAUACUUGGGACUUAUUGCCGAUUGUUUGAAAACCCUGGUAUAUCAUUGUGACGCUAUAUGAGGCGAGACACGUACUCCAUGGCUAGUGCAAGGUCAUAUAUGUGAAAAUUGUGACUCGGUUCAAUCCGAGGGAUGAAUUGUACUAUAUUAGCGAUUACUUCGCACCCUAUAUUGAUGUUAUCUGGGCUUGAUGCCAUGUUUGAGGCCUUGUGCCGACUUGUAGAAUCCUUCAGGGAUCGUUAUCUCAGAAUUUUCAUGAUUUGCAUAUUAUUUGAAUUCAGUCCUGGUUUAAAUACUAUUUUUACAAACUGAGCCAUAACUAUACGUUUUGAAAACUCAAAUGAUUUUUAGAUGAUAUUCCAGGCUGACGAGUACUACCUCACUAUUUUCUAGACUGUAUAUUAUUUUAAAUGGAAAACAGUGGUAACUAUCGGCACCGUGUAUUAUAAAUGUAAACGGCAGUAACUAUGGGACUUGUGUAUUAUAAAUGGAAAUGGUGGUAACUAUUGGCAUCGUGUAUUAUAAAUAGAAAUGGUGGUAACUAUGGGCAUCGUGUAAUAUAAAUCGAAAUGGUGGUAACUAUAAGCACCGUGUAUUAUAAAUGGAAACGGUGGUAACUAUUGGCGCCGUGUAUUAUAAAUGGAAACGGUGGUAACUAUGGGCACCGUGUAUUAUAAAUGGAAACGGUGGUAACUAUUGACACCGUGUAUUGUAAUGGAAACAAUGGUAACUAUUUGCACUGUGUGAUAUGGCGCUUGGGAUGUAGGAGCCCCUCCAGAGUCUGAACCCCCAUAGUGAGCGUGGGUACCCAAAUGGAUUGGGCUGCACGUUUCGCAGUGUUCAUGCAUUGCAUUGCAUUCAUGCAUUUACUCCUGUUUGUACUACGUGGCAUGACAUUUAGCACUCAUACAUCAUUGGCAUACAUACUGUUAAUUGCCUUGUUGACCAGAUACCCUAGUGUUAUAUGUUAAGGAGUGUUGAGCCCGAGAGGCUGAUGUAGAAUAUUGUGAGUUGAUAUUGAGCCCGAGGGGCAAAUUUCUGGCUAUUUCCUACUUGUUGAAAUUACCUUUGCAAUUGUCGAAAAGUAUAUUUUCAAAAGAGAUUCUUGAACUGAACUUGAGGUUUUUCUAAAGGGAUUUCACAGUAUUACGGUUUUCUCAAAAAGGGUUGUUCUGUCUUUUAUAGCGGUUUGGUUUGCUCAUGCGUGUUUUCCUAUCGCUCAGAUAUUAUUAUAUAUUAUUAACACUGAGUUGGAAGUACUCACUUUACUCCUUGCACCUUGCGUGCAGUUGCAGGUAUUAUUCCCCAAUAGCGGGUCAUUAGCAGGAUCGAAGGCUAUAUUGUGGCAGUUGAUCAGGGUAACCGCCAGCGUUCGCGGCACCGCACUCCAUCCUGGUUUUUCGGUUUUUACCUUGUGUAUUUAUUUAUUGUUGGGUUGUAGUAGUGUUCCUACUCUUUAGAUGCUCGUGACUUGUGACACCCCAGUCGGGUUGUAUUGGUAUACAUAUUAAUUAAUGUCAUAAAUUUAGAUUCGAUCUGUGAUAACCGAUUAAUUGCUUUAAGUGGGGUAACUAAACGGUCUGGAUGGCCUUGUCUUCACGAGAGGCACCAUCACAACCAGAUUUGGAAAUUGGGUCGUGACAAGUUGGUUCAGAGCCUAGGUUACUAGGUCUCACGAGUCAAGAGUAGGGUUAGUAGAGUCUCGCGUAUUAGUACGGAGACGUCUGUAUUUAUCCUCGAGAGGCUGUAGGACCUUUAGGAAACCUUCUCAUUCUUGGAAUUCUUAUCAUGCGUACUUGAUUUAGUUUGAGAGAACUCUUGAAAUUACUUCCUCACGUCUGUAUGCGUACGCGAGCGCUCAAUAGUAUAUGUGCCUUGAUUGCUUGUGAUUCCCCGAUCGAGGGGCGAGAGGUAAUCUUCGUAAGUUCAUGUUGGGCUAGUCUGGAGGACUCGAGGUCGGAUAUUGCCUAUGGUUUAAGCACUGAGUUGCUGAUUGGGUGAGCAAGUGUUUCGAACUUAUAUGUUAGUGUCGUUCUUAUUAGCCGGAAUGGCGGCCGAAUAUCCAUGUGAUGAGUAUGUUAGUACUGGGAGGUGAAUCUAUGUGAUCUUGGUAGUGAUGGGAGAGUCUGCUGAAUAAUAGAUGAGUUGUCGAGUGUUCGACUCCUAUUGUGAUUUUAUGUGUAAUGUGAUGAGUAUGUCAGUACUGCGAGGGGUAUCUACGUGAUUUUGGUAGAGACAAAAGAAUCUACUAAAUAAUAGAUGAACUGUCGAGUGUUAGAUUCCUAUUGCGCAUUAAUGUGUAGUUCGAGUUAUGGACGCGUGAAGAAUAUUUCAUGUCUCUUAGUUGGAAAGUAAAGUACAUUCCAUGUGGCAGUAUGAGUAUAGACUUAGAAAGACUAAAUGGCUGUGUAUUAUAUAUAUAAUGGUGGAAGGUAUAUGUUGUAUUUUGAAAGUAUUGGGACACAUAAGAAAGUGGACUCAGCUGAUGUGGAAAUGAAUGCGAGGUUUGCAGAGAAUGUCAGUGCUAGNNNNNNNNNNNNNNNNNNNNNNNNNNNNNNNNNNNNNNNNNNNNNNNNNNNNNNNNNNNNNNNNNNNNNNNNNNNNNNNNNNNNNNNNNNNNNNNNNNNNNNNNNNNNNNNNNNNNNNNNNNNNNNNUUUGAGUUCGAUCUCAUUGUGGCAUCAUUAGAGUAAAAGUGUUAUGAGUUGUUAAGAAUGCCUUAAUAUAUGGCUUCGAGCCAAGUUGGGGAGGUUUCUCAAAACUCUUCCUUCUCAUUUGAAAUAUGUAUAUCUUGAGAAAUAAUUAUUUCAUCUUCUCUUACUGCAGAACAAGAAAGUAGUUUGAUUAAAGUAUUGAAAGCACACAAAGGAGCCUUGGGGUAGACUGCAUAAGAUAUUAAAGGGAUUAGUCCGGCUAUUUGUACACGCAGAAUCCUCAUGGAGGAUAGAUACAAGCCAAUAGUCCAGCCACAAAGAAGAUUGAAUCCAGCAAUGCAGUAGCCUUGGGUGGACUGUAGAAGAUAUUAAAGGGAUUAGUCCGACUAUUUGUACACACAGAAUCCUCAUGGAGGAUAGCUACAAGCCAAUAGUCCAGCCGCAAAGAAGAUUAAAUCCAGUAAUGCGGGAAGUAGUGAAGAAAGAGAUCGUAAAGCUGUUGGUAGCAUGUAUUAUAUACCCCAUUUCUGAUAGCCCGUGGGUAAGUCCCGUUCAGGUAGUACUAAAGAAAUGAGUUAUGACAGUUAUAAAAAAUAAAAAUAAUAAGCUCAUACCUACCAGGACUGUUACAGGAUGGAGAGUCUGUAUUGAUUACAUAUGUCUCAAUGAUGUCACUAGAAAAGAUCAUUUUCCUUUGCCAUUUAUUGAUCAAAUGUUGGAAAGAAUUGAAGGAUAUGGUUUUUACUGUUUUCUUGAUGGUUAUUCAGGAAUAAUCAGAUACUAAUUGCACCAGAAGAUAAAGAUAAGACAACCUUCACAUGCCCUCAUGGAACAUAUGCCUUUAGGAGAAUUCCAUUCGGUCUGUGCAACGCCCCUGCUACAUUUCAGCGUUGCAUGUUGGCAAUUUUUGCUGACAUGACUGACAAAUUUCUUGAAAUUUUUAUGUAGUGUUGCAUGUCGGCAAUUUUUGCUGACAUGACUGACAAAUUUCUUGAAAUUUAUAUGGAUGAUUUUACACUAUUUGGCAAAACAUAUAAGGAUUGUCUUAACCCUUGAUAUUCGUUCUUAAAAGAUGUGAAGAAACAAACUUAGUUCUUAAUUGGGAAAAAUGUCAUUUUAUGGUUACAGAAGGAAUUGUUUUAGGACAUAAAAUCACUGCUGAAGAGAUAGAAGUUGAUAAGGCAAAAAUUAAUCUUAUAGCAGGAUUACCCCUCCCACAACUAUGAAAGGCAUUAGGAGCUUUCUAGGUCAUGCAUGUUUCUACAAACGAUUCAUAAAAGAUUUCUCGAAGAUUUCAAAACCACUGACUAAACUUUUGAUGAAAGACAUUAAGUUUGAUUUUUCAGAUGAAUGUGUGAAAGCGUUUGAAACCCUUAAGGAAACGUUAUCAACUGCACGUGUAGUUGUGCCCCCUGAUUGGAACCAACCUUUUGAGGUCAUGUGUGAUGCUAGUGAUACACCGAUUGGAACGGUUUUAGGCAAAGAAAAUAUAGGAUAUUCCGUCCCAUUUACUGUGCUAGUAGGACAUUGAGUGAGGCUCAAGUGAAUUAUGCCACGACAGAAAAAGAGUUACUAGCAACAGUGUUUGCUUUUGAUAAAUUUUGUUCCUAUUUGAUAGGAACAAAGGUCAUUAUUUUUACUGAUCAAUGCAGCUUUAAAAUACCUCUUAGCUAAGAAAGAUACUCGACCUAGAUUAUUAAGAUGGAUUUUACUUCUGCAAGAAUUUGACCUCGAGAUAAAGGACAAGAAAGGGAUAGAGAACCAAGUAGGUGACCAUUUGUCUAGAUUAGAAAACCCUCCCCUUGAGAUUAAUGAGAUAAAAGAAGAAUUUCCUAAUGAACAUAUUUUUCAGUUAACACAAUUGUGACUCAACCACCCUAGUUUGCAGAUAUCGCGAAAUACUUGGUUGGAAAGUGGAUACCACAAGUCUCUUAUCAGCAAAGAAAAAAGCUUAUAUUUGAUGCAAAGUAUUAUCUGUGGGGUGAACCUUACUUAUUCAAAAAUUGUGCAGAUAAUAUCAUUAGAAGGUGUGUACCUGAAGAAGAGAUGAAUAAAAUUCUAUAUCACUGUCAUGAUGGAGCAAUUGAAGGAUGUUAUGCAGUAAAUCGAACAUCUUUUAAAGUUUUAGAAGCCAUAUUCUUCUGGCUCAUACUUUUUAAAGAUGCCCGAGCAUAUGUAGCACAAUGUGACAGGUGUCAGAGAACAGGUAAUAUCACCCACUCAUUAAAGAUGCCUGAGCAUAUGUAGCAUAAUAUGACAGGUGUCAGAGAACAAGUAAUAUCACCAAGAAAGAUGAGAUGCCACUACAAUCAAUACAGGUAUGUGAAAUAUUUGAUGUUUGGAGAAUAGAUUAUAUGAGUCCUUUUCCUUCUUCUCAAUCUUUUGAAUAUAUCCUUAUGGAUGUGGAUUACGUUUCAAGAUGGGUUGAAGCCAUCCCCACAAGAAAGAAUGAUGCUCGUACAGUGUGUAAUUUUCUUAGAAAAAAUAUUUUUACUAGAUUUGGCACACCGCGAGUCAUUAUUAGUGACCAAGAAACUCAUUUUAUCAAUAGGCGAUUUUUGUCAAAAUAUAAUGUGACUCACAAAACUGGAACACCAUAUCUUGCUCAAACUCAAGGACAAUUUGAGGUUUCCAACCGCGUGUUAAAAAGAAUUCUUGAAAAAGCAGUUGGAAUCUCAAGAAAAGACUGGGCUUUAAAAUUAGAUGAUGCACUAUGGGCGUACCGUACGACUUUCAAAACGCCAAUUGGAACAUCAUUAUAUAGAUUAGUCUUUGGAAAGCUUGUCAUUUGCCCGUAGAAUUAGAACAUAAAGUUUUUUGAGCAUUGAAAGCACUGAACUUUGAUUUAACCUCUGCUGGUAAAAAGGAUUUAUUCAGGUUAAUGAAUUGGAAGAACUGAGAUUGGGAGCCUAUGAAAAUGCUAAAUGUUAAAGAAAAAACAAAAUAUGGCAUGACAAGUUGAUCCGACCAAAGAGUUUUAAAAUUGGAGAUCAGGUACUUCUUUAUAAUAGCCGACUCAUGUUAUUCCCGGGAAAAUUAAAAUCCAGGUGGACAGGUCCCUACAAUGUUACAGGCGUUACUCCAUAAUAGCCGACUCAUGUUAUUCCCAGGAAAAUUAAAAUCCAGGUGGACAGAUCCUUACAAUGUUACAGGCGUUACUCCAUACGGGACAAUAGAAAUUCAGAAAAAUGAAGGAGACAAGUUUAAGGUAAACGGUCACAGGCUAAAAUUGUACUUUGGAAGAAACUUUGAAAAACAUCAAUCGAUUACUUUGAUAAACUGACGAAUUCUGCAAUUAAUAAGUCGAGUUGACGACGUUAAACUCAUAACUAAGAUACAAAACCCAUAGCCAUUGAGGGAGAAGCAGUGGAGCCUCAUAAGCCCGACAUAGAAUUGGGGUAAUUUAAUGCUUAAUCAAUUGAUCUGGUCAAUAUCCAGGUUAUUGUACAACCAGAACAUCUCAUGAAGGCCUCUACAAAAAAAGAGUCACCUGUACAGGAGUAACUAAUAUCUAGGUUAUUGUACAACCAGAACAUCUCAUGAAGGCCUCUACAAAAACAGAGUCACAUGUACAUGAGUAACUCCAUGGUGAUCGGUAUGCCUAAGUAACUGGUUGAUUAACCAUUUAAUGAAUCAAUUUAAAAUGUUGGACAGGUCAAUUUGUUGGUUUAUAUUUAAAACCAGGACCAAAUGACUAAUAAAGCCUUAAAUUAGUCAGUCUAUUACAUAUAAAAACAUGUGUUGUCACACACUCUUUCAAGUUUUUUCUUCUCUCUGAUAUAUAUAUAUAUAUAUAUAUAUAUUUCAUUUAUGCCAUAUAACUUCUAAGUUUGUGAUUUUAUUUUUAUGAAGGCAAGAACGAGUAUCUCCAAAUUUGAGAAAGUGUUGGAAUUGAGAAACAUUAUGAUCUCAACAGGUAGAAUUAAUAAAAUUCUGCUAGAACUUGCCCCAAAUGUCUAUCAAGGCAAAAUUCUAGACAACACUAUUUUUAGAAUGAAAUUAGACUUUCUUUGACACCCUUUUUAGCCUAUCCAAUUUUAACCACAAAUAUUUAUAUUUUACCUUUUAGCACCCAACUUUGAGCCAAAAGAAAAAAAAGAAAAAAAAAAGAGGGAUAAACCAACUUUUAUUGAUACACCAUAUUGGUUUAUCUUACAAAACAUAUUGAUACUACUCCUUGAAAAAAAAAAGGGAUAAACCAACUUUAAUUGAUACACCAUAUUGGUUUAUCUUACAAAAAAAAAUUUGAAAUAUAUAUAUAUAUAUAUUUGAGCCCCAAGCCUCCAUCCUCCUUGCAUAGCAAGACGUUUUGGAUAUAUGUUUUAAUUUUGGACCAUCAUUUUGUGUAUGAGUGCCGCUUAACUAACCAGGUAAGAGGCGGUGAUACCAUUUUAAAAAUCUAGUCAUAAUUCACUUCAUAAUCAAUAUGGAGAAUAAAUGGUUAUUGUAUAGACUAAAAGAGAAUGGACCCAUCAUGAAUUUCUUUAAUGAUCUUAUUUAGAGAAAGCAUAGCAGAGGUGGUAUCCCCGCCUUUUGAGCUAUUACAUGUGUAGUUGACUAUACAACAGCUAGAAGUCUAGGCUCUUUCUUCUGAAUGUAGAUGUUCCUCCACAUAUAAGCUUAAUUGAGCAUGGAUUAUGCAUUUCUGGGAGCUUUUGAUGUCCACUUGCUGAGCAUUUCUUCCUUCUAGCAUACCCUGGAAACUAUGAACUGUAUUUUUUUUGCCGUGCAUGGUCUUGUACAUCUCUUGUACAAUGUCUUGUGUUUAACAGUGCUCAUGAUACAGUCGUCUUUUAGUUAUAAAGCACUCUGAACUCUGAGUUGCUUCAGCUGAGGCAAGUGUUUGAACUAACUCAUUAAGUUAUGAAUUUAAAUAUUAAGAGAAAAACUCGUGGGACCUUUAGUGGUAAAAAUGAAAGAGAUUAGAUAGCUAGCAACCAAGAGAUUCCUUUAGAAGCGGUGAGCUUGACUCACACUGAUAUCACCACCGAGGGAAUUGAAGCUCUUGGACGUUGUUGCCCACGGUUGAAGUCGUUUGAAUUGAAUAACUCAUGUUAUAUUGGAUCAGAUAUAAACUUAGUUAACGAUUCCGUUGAAGAUGAAUCAGAUGAAGGAGAUAUAAGAAAUGAUGAGGCUCUGGUUAUUGCUAAAAACCUGCCUGCGUUGCAACACCUUCAGCUCAUAGGGAACAAUAUGACAAAUGAAGGCCUUCAAGCUAUUCUUGAUAAUUGUCCUAAUCUUGUAUCACUUGAUCUGCGGCGCUGCUUUAAUGUUAGCCUCAAUGAAAUCUUGAGUAGUAGAAUUUCUCAACAGAUUAAAGAUGUGAAGUACCCACAUGACUCUCUGGCAGGAUUAAAGUUUUCGUUUGAAUCUUGGGGGACUGCAGAUGAUGGAUAUAACAUGUCUUCUGAUUAUUACAUGUAUGAUGAUUAUCACUAGUGGUCAUGUUUCUAGCAUUGGCCCCAUUUGUAAAGUUGUGGGCUUUUUUUGGUUAUCAGAUUGUGAACAGUUCUUCGGGUCUCUCCAAAUUUAAUCUAGUUUCUCAUUAUUGGCUGAUUGGAAUGUCUUGGGUGAAAUUCAAAUUCCUUCUCUAAGUUUAUUUAAUUACUCACAAAGUCUCCUCUCAUUUUCAACAACAAUAACAAUCCAGUAUAAUCCCACUUAGUGGGGUCUGGGGAGGGUAGUAUGUACGCAGACCUUACCNNNNNNNNNNNNNNNNNNNNNNNNNNNNNNNNNNNNNNNNNNNNNNNNNNNNNNNNNNNNNNNNNNNNNNNNNNNNNNNNNNNNNNNNNNNNNNNNNNNNNNNNNNNNNNNNNNNNNNNNNNNNNNNNNNNNNNNNNNNNNNNNNNNNNNNNNCCAAGAAUUUCCCACCUUGCUCUUGGGGAGACUCGAACUCACAACCUCUCGGUUGGAAGUGGGGAUUGCUUACCAUCAGAACAACCCCUCUUGUCCUCUCCUUUCAUCUUCAAUGCCACGGAAAUUGUAUUUUACUUACUUUGUAUCGCUAAGGAAUAACUUUAGCAUAUUAGUCAUGAUAAUAACUAUUUUGAAUCAGCAUGUGGAUACUUUUCAUUGAGGAAGAAAAUAUAGCUGAGGAAAUAAAAGAAUCUUUUACCAAUAUUCUAAUUAAUAAAUUAUUAAUCGAAGAGAAAAAUUAGCGGUCAAGAAUUUUGGUAGCAGAGACUUGCUCAACUACGUUGCUCAAAGGUAUAACAGAUCUUAUCUUAAAAUCAGCUGAUUUUACAAAAAAAUCAUAUUGAAUUAGCAUGCGUAUCCAAUGUUUGUAAAGUCUCUGCUUAAGCCCUGGGGUCGUUUGGUAUGCGGUUAGAAGAAAUGUUAUGCAUGUAUAAGGGGUAACAUAAUUUAUAUCAUGUUUGGUAGACAUUAGUUAUGAUGUAUAAAAUUUUGCAUAACUAAUACUAUGUUUGGUUGAUAAUUUUCAAUUAUGCAUAAAUGAUACAUGUAUAAGUUAUGACUCAAUAUGUGUGUUAUCUUAUGCAGGAUAGAAGAUGGAAUAACUAAUACAUGUAUUGCCAUAUAUGGAUAAAAUAUUGAAAUGACAAAUUUACCCCCAUCACUUUAUAUUGUUGCUUCAGUUUAUAAAUAUUUCUACAUAAUGCUAUAUCUAGUUUUCUGCAAUAGUACCUUUCUUAUCUUGCAUUCUUUUGCUGAUAUGUAAACAAACAAAAUAAUAAAUUAAAACAUGUGAUAUGUUGUUGCUUAAAUAAAUGGAAACAGGGGGAAAACAAUGCAAAAGAAGGCUAGGGGUAUAAUUGUAAACAAACAUUUUAUUUUAAAUUUUAUAUAAUAUAUCAAUUUCUAAUACAACAAACCAAAAUUCAAAAAAUAAUCUUUGCAUAACUAAUUCAUGCAUAACUAAUACCUGCAUAACUAAUGUAUGCAUAACCAAUACCUGCAUAACUAAUACGUGUAUAUCUAAUAUCUGCAUAACUCUAACCGGCAAUGACCCCUUCUGUUGCUAUAACUUGUUCAUAUUAGGCUAGUUGAGAAUUUGUCAGGGGCUUAAGGCUUCGUCUAAUGCUAAGAGGUAGCACAGUAUGUGAUUAUUAGGAAAAAUACCUGGUACUUUUCAAAGGCUCCAAACACAUACCACGGAUAGCUCAAAACAUAUACAACAAAAUUUGAGGAAACUUUUGGAAGGUGAUUGAAUUUUACUAAAAGAAUAUUUAAAUAUUAUACAAUGUUGCUGGCAUUAAUCCAACUUCUCAGAGUCGGCGUUCUCAUUUGGACAAGGGAAGAGCCAGAUGCGGAUAGGAAUUUAGUUCUGUGGUUUCAACAUCUAAAAUUAUGGGUUCAUAUUUACUAUUUAUUGCAAUUUUAGAGAAUUUUUCAUAUAUAAAUUUAUAUUCCGUGUUGAAAGUACUGGGUUCAGUUGAACCCGGUAGUUGUAUGUUGCAUUGAAAAGCCUACACAUUCGGAGUAACUUUUGUAUCGAUUUCAUAUUUAUAUUAGAAGAUGUUGGGGUGCAAAUCCCAUCCCACAUCGGAUAAAAAGGAGAAAAGAGACUAACAUAUAUAUGGUUACCCAACCCCAUUAGUAUGAGGCCUUUUGGGAGAUGUCCAAAAACAAAUCCGUGAGGGCUUGGCCUAGAGCGGACAAUAUCAUACUAAUAAUAAGUACCUUAAAUUAUAUGAUCUUAACUUUGCUUAACUGCUUUGGCUAGAGUAUCUGUGAGGGCUUGGCCUAGAGCGGACAAUAUCAUACUAAUGCGGGGUUGGGGUGAGAGUACGCGCGGUCCCAACAAGUGGUAUCAGAGCCCAGGUUCGAAGGGCGGAGUAGCGGACCGACGCGUGCGGAGUUCUCGACGGUGUGCCAAACUGGACCAGAGGUCGAAACAAUUAUCCGACUGUUUGAUGACUAAAGCUAUACUAGAGGGGCAUGUGACUACUCAUCAUUCAAAAGGACCACCCAUCUAUGUCCAACUCAUAAUAUUAGUGUUGGGGGUGCAAAUCACAUCCCACAUCAGAUAAAAAGGAGAAAAGAGACCAACAUAUAUAUGGUUACCCAACCCAAUUAGUAUGAGGCCUUUUGGGAGAUGCCCAAAAACAAAUCCGUAAGGGCUUGGCCUAGAGCGGAUAAUAUCAUACUAAUUCGGGUUUGGGGUGAGGGUACGCGCGGUCCCAACAGAAGAUUCAUCAAAUAUGUAUAAAGAUUUAACUACGAACCUAGUAACUAGAAGGAUACACGAGUUUUGUGACAAUAAGAUUUGAUUUCCUUCAUUAUUUAGGAUUUGAUACCUCUGUACUUUAUAUAUACUUUUGUGAGCAAUACGAGAAAUUUAAUUCUCCCAAAACUCUCUACAUUUUUGCGACACCCACCCUCCCUCCUAACCCCCACCCACCCAUUGUUUAGCUCAUCUUGACCCAAUCCAUCUUAGCCCAAAUACACUUUAGGCUGGGUUGGACAAUGACCCAUUUAUUAUCUAACUGAUCUUAACCCGUCCAAAUUCAGCCCAACCCACCCAUUUGCCACUUCUAGAUCAUACACAUCUGGAGGAACUUGUAGUGUAGGGACAAGCUGAAAUAGGAUACCUGAGAACUCUUUCCCUUGAUAAGUAGCUAGAAAACAACUACUUUUUGGCUUUCAAGAAUGAUAACGAGAAAUGGUAAUACACUAAUAUGCAUAGUGUGAACUAAGUUGCUACUAUAUUUAUUGGUAUGUCCAAUGCCCACUUGUCCUCUUUUCAAUUGUUACAUUUAGUAUUUUGCAGGUUUUUGGUUGCUUUUGGGUUAUAUGCAUGGCAUCUUUUGGCAACAGUAACAGGUGAUGUGUUUAGUUCUGUACAUAGCCUGCAGCUGAUUGUAAUUAGAAUAAUCGGAAAAAGGCCUGAUCUGUCUUUCUACUAUGAUAAAUUGUUUAAAAUUAUCCUCUGUUAUACUAUUGGGUCAUAAAAGUUCAUGCCGUCUUACUAUCCUAACAAAUCUGCCCUUAGUUAGACGGAGGUGCCACGUGGCAUCGUCUCAUAUGUGCCACGUGGUUGCACGGAUUGAUGCCACGUGAAACCUCCGUCUAACUAAGGGCAAAUUUGUUAGGAAAGUAAGACGGCAGAGACUUUUAUGAGCUAAUAGUAUAACGAGGGACAAUUUAUACCACGUGGCACCUCCGUCUAACUAAGGGCAGAUUUGUUAGGAUAGUAAGACGGCACGGACUUUUAUGGCCCAAUAAUAUAACGAGGGACAAUUUUAAAUAAUUUACCAUAGUAAAAGGAUAUAUCACACCCUUUUCCGUAGAAUAAUUAAAGCAAUCCUCUUCCUUUUGCAUGUGUGAGGUGACUUCUACAACCUCCAAAACACUUUUGCAGUUUUGCCCUUCUUUUAUUCGUACCUCGGAGGGUCUUGUAAUGGCCCAAGUUAGUUAUAUGUAUCUUAUAUCUACUUUCCUUGAGCUUGUGUGUAAAAUCUACUUCUGUCUUACUUGUCCAGAGCAAUUUCUUCUUCUUUUUUAGUGUCUUUUGAUGAUAAUGUGUUGAUUGAUACCUCGCAUAUUGUUCGCAAAGAGUAACUUCUCCUUGCAUGGAUGGCCAAAACAAAAAAUAAACUGAAAACAGGCCAAAAGAAAACCAUUUCGGUCUAUAAUUUCCAUGCCACGUCUUCUCUUUGAAUCUCUGGACAUUUUAUUUAGUUCUGAAGAGAGGUUGAGGUGAGGAUUUGAGAUAUUGAAAACGUCAAAAUAAUUUCUAAGUAAAUUUUGAAUUUUGCAGGAUUUUAUCCAUUGGGCUUAAUUGAAGAAGCGAGAACUGAUACAUAGGCGCGUAUGCAUCUUGUUGCAUGCGAUGUCACGGGACACCGCUUCAUUGAAAUUAAACUUUUUUAGUACUAGAUAUGGAUAAGGAAAUUGAAAAUAUUAACGACAAAUAUAAAAAAGCGAUACCACUUAUCAUUUAGUUAUUUAUUCAUUAGUUCACUUCUUCAAAUUGUCACACCGACUACGAAAUAUGUUGCGUGCGCUACUGUUCAUAUAGCCAAUUCUAAUUUGCAUGGGACUGAAGCGUUAUUGUUGCUGUUAUUGUCAUUUUUCUUUAUGUUAGUUUCCUUUCCUUGCAAAAAAAUCCAAGAUUCAAAAAGAAAAAUGUAAUCAAGCUAGCUAGAAAUAGGAAUAAUUGACAAAAGAUUAAUUAGGGGUAUAAACAGAGAUAGAUCAAAUGUCUAGUAGUACAAAUCCUUUUUAGAGAGCACCAAUAUUCUUGAGGCCAAGAACAACCCCAACACCAAUAAUGUGACCAACAACACCACAAGCCAAAGUAUCAGCAAGUGUAAAUCUAGCAGGGUCCCCAGUCUGUAGGCCUGAAUCCCUUACCUCUAGCUUUAGUCCUGCUGUUGCCUUCCUGUUUGCUGAUAUUGCUUAGCAGGGUCCCCAGUCUGUAGGCCUGAGUCCCUCACCUCUAGCUUUAGCCCUGCUGUUGCCUUCCUGUUUGCUGAUGGUGCCAACCCAAAUCUACCAGCAAACAGCAUUAGGCUUGUUGAUGUCACCAUUAUCUGUUCAUCAUAAACACAACAAGGAUUUGAAUUAAGACAUUAAGUGCACUGACUUCUUGUAAAGGAUUUUUUUAUUGUUAUAUUUGUUUUCUUUUUAAGGUUACUAAAAGAAUAGCUUGUUGUACGAAGCACCAUACGUUCACUAAGGGAUGAUAUAGACAACCUAUUCUAUCAGUGGUUGAUUUCACGAGGUCGAAUCCGUAAAUUACAUGUCACGUGUAGAUAAUUUUACCGUUGUUCCAGAAUAAUCCUUCAUUUUUUCAGGUUAUCUUUUAAGUUACUUAAUAGCAUUCUGCGUUCACGUAGUGUUCAUGAAAGUGUCUCACCUAAAGGGGUGUGAUAUAGGCAACUAAUCUUGACGCUAGCAUCAGUAGUGGAUGAUUUCAAUAUUCCAACUUGUGAACUAUAGGUGACAAUAACUUUAUCGUUGCACCGUAGCAACCCUUCAUUUUCAAGGUUACUAGUUCCACUAAUUAUGGCCAAUUAUAUGUAGUAUCUGAGAGUGUAAAAAGUCUGUUGUGCCAUCAAUGUAAAAAGUUAAGAUCAAAUAUAUUAAUUUAACGUGUGACUGCUAUAAGUUAAGAAUUUGAGCCAAGUAAGAUCAGAAAUUUAAGAAACAAUGUCAUUUCCCCUUGUAAUUAGUGUGAUCGGUGCCUUUGACAAUUUUACACUUUAAGAAAAAGGUAGAAUUAGUGCUACAAUUCCAUUUUAUUCUUAUGAUACUUAUAUUUUAUUUCUCGAAAUGUUGUAAAUUCCAAAUACGUACAAGGUUCUUGUUUAUUUUUCCAAAAAGCAGAAACUAUAACAAAUGAGUUUACAGAAUAAUUGAGCCCAUUCUUAUAUUUUGGAAAUUAUAAGAUUUUCUGAUUUUUUAUUUAAUAAGUGUUAGCACUAGGUAAUUGGUUAUUUACCAAAUUUGUGGGGGAGCCAAUGAAAUCACAGCGAGCUCCCAACGCGCCUUGUCCUUUGCGUCUCAUUGGUUGAACGGCCACC